GUCCACGCCGUAAACGAUGUCAACUAGCCGUUGGAACCUUUAAGUUUUUAGUGGUGCAGCUAACGCGAUAAGUUGACCGCCUGGGGAGUACGGUCGCAAGAUUAAAACUCAAAUGAAUUGACGGGGGCCCGCACAAGCGGUGGAGUAUGUGGUUUAAUUCGAUGCAACGCGAAGAACCUUACCUGGCCUUGACAUGUCCGGAACUUACCAGAGAUGGUUUGGUGCCUUCGGGAACCGGAACACAGGUGCUGCAUGGCUGUCGU
rnacentral:rRNA from 1 species